AAAGACAUGAGUGUGUUUCAGUUGCCUUCCUCAUGUGGUAGGACCAACAACUCUAGUGUGGGUUACACUGUCCUCAUAUUGUUGGUAGCAGAACUGUACAGUGUUAAGUUUCUAUAGAAUCUGGUAUAAGGAAGUGAGAUCCUUCUGUAAUAAUGUUCACUGAUACAAAUAUGAUCUGUAGUUAAUUAUCUAGUCGGGAUUUAUACUAGAGAAUGUUUCUGACGUUAUAUUGUUGUCUUUUGUUGCAGACACCAAGUGCUGAGGUCCUGUCUCAGCCUCAUACAGACCAAUUGACACCAAGUGCUGAGGUCCUGCCUCAGCCUCAUACAGACCAAUUGGCUCAAGGACCAAGUAUUCUGGGGAUCCAAGCCACAAGCUUUACUCAGCUGCCCUGAACAACAUGAAGGGCACCUCUGCCUCAAUCACCCUGGACAACAAAAACAUUAGCAACACUUCACCAAGAAGGGGCAAAGGCACCCAAAUACAAAAUGUUUUAGCAGAACACAGCACUUCAAAUGGUUCAUUCCAAGCAUCCUUAAAGGAGCGAUAAGCAAUAUCUUUUCACUGCUAGGUGUGCUGUUUUGCACUGCCUGUAAACCAAACCAAAGUCUAUGGCUGGAGAUCAACACAGAGAGAGGGAUUGUGACUUCAUGCUGUACUCCAGAUCUGGGAAGGUGAGAAGCAAGUGGACAAAUGAUGAAGUAAAGGUUGCUGCUAAGUACCAGGUAAAAAGGAAUGUGACUGCUGCUUCCAAGCAGAGCCGGCAGCUCGGAAAGGCAGAGACUGGGUUGCCAUAAAGUACUACAUCCACAACAGGAUCAUAGCAUUAAAAGAAAGAUGCAAGAAAAAAAGAAACAAGCAAGAGAGAUACUUUGUUGCUUCCACAGUUAUGUCAGUAUUGUAGUUUUCUGUAUUGCAUUGUUCUUACUCAUAAAUCUGUGGUUUAUGCUGGGUGCUUUUUGCAAUUAAAUGAUAAGAAAGGCAGAUAAUGUUCCACGUUUUUAUUCACAUGAACAUUCACUACAAAAUGAAUUAAUGCAUUACAAUAUUAAGACUUAAAAAGUAGACUGACCACAUUUGACCUAUGUCUUUUUUAAAGUCUCUACACAGCUCAUAUUUACUGUUUUAUUAACACAUAAAUGUCUGAUAU